AUCACUGAAAGUAAAAGAAAGUUCUGCAGAACCCAAAAACUUUUGCAAUAGUUCGAAUUAAUCUGUGUCGUUUGCAGUACAGUACAGUGCUGGACUUGACCAAUUUAAGUUUUUUUGUUGUUGUUGUUGUUGUUCCUGAAAAGGGGCGGAGCUUGAGUUGGGCUUCUAUCAGUGCUGCGUGGAGCGGAGGAGCGACAUCAGACUGGCUGCCUCUAAUUCUUCUUCUUCUCCUCCUCAUACUCGACCCACGAGAUCAUGUCCCGUUACGAUCCACAGCCACAUUUCUCGAGGAUGAUGGAAGCCGUCACUCCCCGGCCACACCAUUAGGGUACAAGCAUGGAGGAAAUGGACUUUGAGCGGCGCCGGGAGCUGAGGAGGCAGAAGCGGGAGGAGAUGCGCCUGGAGGCCGAACGGUUGUUAAGGAACGACGACGACGAGGAGGAGGCCGCCCGCGAGAGGAGGCGCCGGGCCCGCCAGGAGAGGCUGAGGGCCAGGGAGAACGACGACUCCACCGGGCAGCCCGACAGUCAGGUCACGACCAACUGCCACAGCGUGACAGAAAGCGUCUCAGCCAGCCACUCUUUCGGCGGGUGCGGCGAGGAAGAGGACCAAGCGCUGCUGGACCGCAUGGCCAAGCGCGAGGAGCGCAGGCAGCGUCGUCUGAAGGAGGCGCUGGAGCGACAGCAGCAGUCGGACGAGACAGAAGGCUACGACGGCGGCAGCGGGGAGAAGAGCGAAACGGCGCGGGGGGAGGAGGAGGAGGAGGAGGAGGAGCAGAAGCCUUCCUCUUGGUGUCGGGAGAAAACGUACAGCUCGAGGAGAGAGGAGAAGGAGCCCGAGGUGGCCAGAGAGGAAGAGGAGGUCGCUCCUGAGGAGGAGAAAGUGAUGGAGGAGAAGCCAAGCAGAUCUUACCUAAGAGAAGAGGAAUCAAGUGACGAACCCAACAUAGAAAAGCAGGAGCGUGCAGAGGAAGGAAGUUAUUCAGUAGUCAGUAGAAAUCAGGCCGAGGCAGCAGAAGUAGCGGCCGACGGGGCACCCCAGGGCGCUUUUAUAGACGUCAGAGCGCGUAAGAUACAGAGAAAUGACAGCGAUGGCGACAAUGAGCAGAGGAAGCAGAACGGAGGGCUGCAUGAUGAUGAUGAUGAUGAUGAGGAAGAGGAGGACGCUAUUCCCAAACAGCACAGGAAACCCGAGAGGACGCUCAGCGGAGGCGGCGCGCGCUCCCCCGAGGCGUCGGCCGACGACGCGCAGGACGACGACGACGACGGCGCCCGCUCGGAGGCCGAGCGCAAGCCGGAGGAGCUGAAGCGCCGCCGCGACGACGCCGAGAGCGAGGAGUCGGAGCGCAUGCGGCAGAAGCAGCAGGAGGCCGAGGCCCAGCUGGAGGAGCUGAAGAGGAAGAGAGAGGAGAGGAGGAAGGUGACGGAGGAGGAGGAGAGGCAGAGGAAGCAGGACGAGGCUGAGAGGAAAGCCAGAGAGGAGGAGGAAAAGAGGAAGAUGAAAGAGGAGAUCGAGAGGAGGAGAGCAGAGGCGGCCGAGAAGAGGCAGAAGGUGGAGGACCCGACGGACGGCGAAGGAAAACCCUUCAAGUGCGUCAGCCCUCGCGGCUCUUCCCUCAAGAUUGGAGAGCGGGCUGAAUUUCUCAACAAGUCAGCACAGAAAAGCACAGUAAAGACGUCCCCUUCUCCCGUGGUGUCCAAGAUCGACAACAGACUGGAGCAGUACACCUCGGCCGCUCAGAGAGAGAACAAGGAGUCCCGAUCCCCUCGCCCGGGAGCCGCGGAUCUCCCGGCGGUGACCGACAGCAUACGAAACAUCAAGAGCAUGUGGGAGAAAGGCAACGCGUUCAGCUCGCCGGGAAGCGGCGGCAGCGCCUUCAAGGUAAGGGGUUGGCGCAUCGUCGGCGGAAGGGAGGCACCGUUUUCAGCGCCGCAUCCCCACCUUUCGCCUCCGUCUAAGCAGGAAGCAGCCUGUGAUCAAGACGGGCGUGGCCGGCCGCAUCAACGACUGGCUGAAUAAAACCCCCGAGAGCGGCAAGGCGGCGGCAGGGAGGCCAUCGGACCUGAAGCCCGUCGACGUGACCAACAAGAGGAGUUUAUGGGAAAACAAAGGCUCCUCUCCGGCCAAGGUGGCAGGAAGAGGCGAGAGCAAAUCAGUCAGCAACGGUACGGGCCACUGAAGCCCAGGAGGAGCCGCGACCAUCCCAGCCUCGGGCUCGACGACCAAAUAUCGACCACAAUCCCAAAGAGGGACCCUGAGAAAAAGGAAGAAACAAAAAGUGUGCGGGGGGUGGACACACAUCUCAGCAUUGUACACAAACAUGACUAGGUUUUUCCACGGUGGCCACUUUAGGUGCCUUUGCACGUUAUUUGCUUUGUAAAAGAAAGCGAAUGCUGUGAAAAUUGGAUAUUCCGACGACGAAAUCGUAAAAUGUAAUUGCAGUGAAGUUGAGAGGAGAUUCCUAAGUUUUCCCAGGGUGACACCCCCUCGUAAAGUUUCAUUCCAUCUCUUUUUAAUUUAUAUUUAAAGCAAAAGCUUCACGCAUUUUACGAUUUUAUUGCAACACGAAGAUAGAAAUAUAAGCACUUGUAGAGUUUAGCCGGAGUCACGUUUAUCACGUCUCACAAUAUCGCGGCAACGGUCCGGGUCACGUACAGUACGUUAGCGCGUAUACGGUCAUCGUACGGUAUCUUAUGUAACAUCCUUACUUAUACUCGCAACAAAAUUCUAUUGUUGCUUUUUUAAAUAUUUUUGGGGAAUCCAUGAACAUUCCACCGACACAGUGUCGUCAUACAAAAGGCCAUUGUGACUUUUUCUGAUCUUAUUUAUGUUGUGAUUUUUGUAGCUUCAGACAUUCCUCUUUAAAGCAGGUGCACGUGAUGCCUUCCAACUUUUUAUAUGUAAAGGUAAGAAAAAAGGCAAAGCGGCCAUUUGACCUUUGACUUAAAAGAAAAUCAAAAGAAAGUAUGGCUUUUACGCACGCUCGAGUAGAAAUCAGGGCGCUCCCGAGAGGACGAGCCGCUACGUACUUUAUCGGGCCUCACGACGGCGACGAGAAGAUUUUUAACGAGGAUUCCUCAGUCUUAAAUCGCUCGGAUGGAUUUCAGUUCCCGCUCCGAAGUCAGACAAUCACAUUCCACGGCCUCCGAAAAGAGCAGGACCAAAAUAUGUUCUCCUUUCCGAAUGUGUUUGAAUGUUUGUUUUUGAAUGUUUUGUCCAUGUUUCUUUUGUAUUUUCACGCUUAACCAGCAAGUUUGCGAAAGCGACGUAACGCCGCAACACGCGCCUCGUCUUACGUCGGUGUCCGCGAACAACAUUCCCAAUGUCACGCACGCUUCCGAGCGGACGAAUGUUUUGAAAGCAUUGUACCACUGUCAACUAGCAACGGAAAUAAAGACAUUUGAGAUCGGA